AAAAGAACUUUGAAGAGAGAGUUCAAGAGACCGUGAAAGCGCCUACGGGCAAACGGGUGGAACCGCCGGUGCGACCAGCGGAAUCCAGCUCGCCGGGCUAAGGCGGCUCCUCGCGGCUGUCGAGACUCGACCUUUUCGGAGGCUGGGCUCGGCGACGCGAGUGGGUCCGUCCCCGUCGGCGUACCUUCCGCUGCUUGUCGCGAGUCGCGACCGGCUCGAAGUGCUUCGUCUCGGCUGGUGGUCAGGCAAGGGGCGCGCCUCUCGGGGCGUUUUGCACCCGUCUUCGGACAGCCUGCAUCGGUCGGUCUGACGGCGAACGUAGCUUCGGGCCGAGGAACGGCCCCGUUCCCGCUCCCGACCAAGUCUCCCGGCGACGCCGCGGCCGUCUUGACUGCCUCUACGAGGCUUAACAGUGCAAGCGCGGUCGCUCGGUCGGCGUCGGCGAGGCGGCGGGCUUGGGGAACGGUCUUAGAGGGUCCGCGGCUGGCCGUGGCGGCACUCUUCCCGACCCGUCUUGAAACACGGACCAAGGAGUCUAACGUGAGCGCAAGUCACAGGGAAAAACACUCCCUUGGGGCGCAGCGAAAGCGACGUGGUCCGAUCCCUCCUCGGGUGAGGGGGGCGCAGGACCGGCCCGUCGGGGGUUGUUACGGCCUCGGCGGAGCAAGAGCGCCCGCGUUGGGACCCGAAAGAUGGUGAACUAGGCCCGAGCGGGACGAAGCCGGGAGAAAUGCUGGUGGAGGUCCUAAGUGGUUCUGACGCGCAAAUCGAUCACGGAACUUGGGCGUAGGGGCGAAAGACUAAUCGAACCAUC
rnacentral:rRNA from 1 species